AUAAUGGUAUUUUUAAUCACAGCUUUUAAUUACACUUUGCCCUAGGAAUGUCUGGAGGAAGGCAGGGAGUCACACCCAGGGCAGAUUGAUUUUAACAGUGCAGCUAACUGCAGAAUGCCAUGCACUAAAAGUUGUUUGCAGGAAAAAAAAUUUUCCUUCUGAAAGCUAGUAGACUAGAGGAGAUGGACACACAAAUUAGUUUAUGAACUACAGGAUCCAUUAAAAGGGCACAGUUAAGAGGCAGGCCCAUGUAAUACUCUGUUCACAAUGAUUAAUACUCAGUGCUACCAUGCCCCUUAAAACCUCCCUGAAACACUUUCCUUCCCAUUAUGACCACCCAGAAUGAGCCAAAAUUCUACUUAGACCUGGGCUUCCAAGAUAUGUUAGAGACCCACUGGAUAAAUUCUAGGCAUGUCAAAUAUAUUUUGGUCGUAUCUCUUUACUACCCUUCCUAUCCUACCAAGAGUGUAAGUGGAAGACUACUUUGGUAGCCUGUACAGUGCAGAGUGAAUAAUUAAUAAUCCUCCUGUCUCCUCAGCAUUUGGCC
rnacentral:lncRNA from 1 species